UACGUAGGGACCGAGCGUUGUCCGGAAUCAUUGGGCGUAAAGAGCGUGUAGGCGGCCCGUUUUAAGUCCUGCGUGAAAUCUCGGGGCUCAACCCCGAGCGGUCGUGGGAAACUGGACGGCUAGAGUGCGGGAGAGGAGAGUGGAAUUCCUGGUGUAGCGGUGGAAUGCGCAGAUAUCAGGAAGAACACCCGUGGCGAAGGCGGCUCUCUGGAACGCAACUGACGCUGAGACGCGAAAGCGUGGGGAGCAAACAGG
rnacentral:rRNA from 1 species